rnacentral:rRNA from 1 species
AACGAACGCUGGCGGCAUGCCUAACACAUGCAAGUCGCACGGACGUAGCAAUACGUUAGUGGCGCACGGGAGAGUAACACGUGGGAAUCUACCUUUUAGUUCGGAACAACACCGGGAAACUGGUGCUAAUACCGGACACGCCCCGAGGGGGAAAGAUUUAUCGCUAAAAGAGGAGCCCGCGUCUGAUUAGCUAGUUGGUGAGGUAAUGGCUCACCAAGGCGACGAUCAGUAGCUGGUCUGAGAGGACGAUCAGCCUCACUGGGACUUAGACACGGCCCAGACUCCUACGGGAGGCAGCAGUGGGGAAUAUUGGACAAUGGGGGAAACCCUGAUCCAGCAAUGCCGCGUGAGUGAUGAAGGUCUUCGGAUUGUAAAGCUCUUUUGGCAGGGACGAUGAUGACGGUACCUGCAGAAUAAGCUCCGGCUAACUUCGUGCCAGCCGCCGCCGUAA